ensembl:lncRNA
UACCCAUUAGUGCUGCUGUAUUUAAAGUGCAAGAUAUGAGAGAGAAUUGUCUUAGGUAUGUAUGAUUCACCAUGAUUUUAAUUAGGAAAUUGCUUUUUGUGUUGAAGCCUUCCCAAAAUUCGUUCUGUUCUUUUAAAAAAAUGUUGCAUGCAGUGUGAAAAGUAUUCCCAGCGGCGAUCACAGUGAUGCCAACCACUUCUGCACACUUGUGACCUUGUGACCUUGCACAUGGCAAUAAAAGAUGAAAGGGGACACACACACGAGGUUUGGCAGAAAAGGCCUGGUCAUUGUUUUCUCCCAUGCAAUUGAUUGGCUGUGUUUACAUGUCCUGUGCAGUUUGAUUGGCUGUGUUAACAUGUCCUGAACACAGAGUGGUGCACCAUUGGUGACGGACAGACACCUAAGUCCUACUCCCAGUGUAUAGAGUAAUCAUGACAGUAACAACAAUCAUGAUGAAACAGAAACGUCAGGCGGUUCGAGUGAGGAAAUAUGGAAGGUAGCGAUGACCUACAGCGCCACCUGGCAGCCGAGAGAGGCAGUGGAGCUUGUGACUGUCUGUUUUGCCGGGCCUUAGCACACAGCUUUUUCCAUGAUACCAUUAGGGGAGGUGAAAGUGGCUCCAAAAAUAUUGUUACUUUGUAAAGUCAUGCUAAAGGUCCCCAAAAAUUGCAUUUUAUUUUUUUUGUUUGAUGGUCGUGAAUCAAUCGGCGGGUCAUGCAGUGGCCAAUGGCAAGGGGAUGGAUACGUUCUUUAUUUGGGGUGCUCAAGCCUCGGGAGUGGGAGCCGAUGGAACGGUUUCCCACAAUACACCAGUCGCACAGAGCUCCACACUUCUCCCUUGCUGCCACCAAACAAAAUGGCCACCAAAUGAGCACAGCAGAAAGGAAUAAAUAAAAAAAUAAAAAAUUAAAAAAACAAUUAAGAGCAUUUAAACAAUGUAUAAUCAUAUUUUCGCAUCAUCAUUAUCUUAUUCAACAUCAUAACCACUACCAUGAUCAACAUCACCAUUGUAAUCACCAUCAUUACCAACAUCAUCGUCUACAGAGCCCUAAUCACCAUUAAUAACAAAUCAAUUCUGAAGAUGGAGAGGUCCUCUCUCUUUACUCCAUGUCCUUUCUCUUGCUCUCUCUCCGUCCAUCUCUUAAUCUGGAAGACUGAAGAAACAUGAAAAAAAAAAAAAAAAAAGAGUCCACAAGUCCAGACACAAGCUUAGAGGUUCUGCUCGGAAGCAUUUCUUUAGUGUGUCUGUUUGCAAUGCCAACAUAACAGAGUCAUAAAGCUCAUAUAUUAUGUGUUCAAUGUAUAUAGAUAUGUACCUGCCAAUACAUGCUAUAACAGCUGUACCAUUGACGAUGGCCUUGCUAUUUUGAUUUAAAAAAAAAAAAAAAACAUUCAACCGAGUCACAAUAUAAAACUAUCCAUGCUAUAUUAAUGUUGGCCUGAUCGACCAGGAAUGUUUUGGACAGGAGUUUUUUUUAAAACCUUUAUUUCACAUUGUUAUAUGACAGUGUUAUGUCAGCAUUUGAAAUGUCAAAGAGAUUGUGUGCUUAUGGGCUAGGUAUCUUUGUGCAAGUGAACAAAUAGUCAAGACUACAAAAAUGAGAGUAGUAAAUAAAAUACUACUACUAUCUUAAAAACAAGAGAAUGUUCUAAAUUAAUUGUGCUAUUUUGGGGGCGACCUUCAUCCAACAAACUCCUCUAUUUUCUUUUGGUAGAUAUUUGGCACAGAAUGAAAACCUUGUCAAUCAUCAGGCCUGUUCCCUGGGCCGCGUCCUGAAUAGAGGGAGUGGUGGCCUCUUUUUUCUUGCAGCGGCUUUAUCAGAGCCUCUGGGCUCACCAUAACACAUAAUAGAUAGCACGAGAGUCUGAGCCGUUCGGUCAGGGAGGAGAGACUGAGAGAAAGGGGGAUGAAUGGAGAGAGAGAACUUCACAGACAAAACAAUAAGACCAAGGAAUAAUCCCCCACCCCCUCAUCCAAUAAAAGAUACUUUUGUUAUUAUUAUAUUAUUAUUAUUAUUCUCAUUGUCAUCGUCAUCAUCAUUAUUAUUAUCAAUAUUAUUCAUCUUCAUUUUUUUUUUUGUAUUGAUCAUGCAGGAGUUCCACAGGAGUUUACGUUAGGAGUUCAAAGGAAGUUGAGCGGUGCAACUGAAGAAUCAAGCUCCGAUGUUUCGAAGAAGUACAAGAAGAAGAAGAAGAAGAAGAAGAGGAAGAAGCCAAGGAGUAGAAGAAGAAAUAGAGAAGAAAAAAAUGUGUUUUUUUUUUCCUCCCCUUUUUUGUUUUAGCGUUUUCUUUUGCUUUUUUGUCUUCUUUUUUUUUUUUGAGAUGAGGGGGAAGAGGUAUUGGGCUAUAUUGGGAGGGUUGACCCCCCACCCCCCACCCCCCUAUGUCCGAUGACCCCAUGCGAGUCACAGGGUGUAGCAACCUCUGUCCCCCCAAAACUCUGCCCCCCAAAACUCUGUCCAUCCCUAAACACAUCCAUGUACACAGGCACCAGGCACGCCCACUGUGAACUCAUUAUUAACAGUAAACAGAGAUGAUAAAACUCAUCAAUAUGGGCCAACAUCACAGUUGGUUUUUGCAAUAGGCUGAGAUCCUGUUCAUUCAAAAGCCAAGAAAGAAAGAAAGAAAGAAAGAAAAAGAACAAAAAGAAAAACAGAAAAAAUUGGUCAGUCUCCUUUUGUUCAGGUGUCUUUUUCCUCUUUUAGUUUGACUAUUUUUUUAAUUAUGUUUUUCUUCUCUUUUUCUUUUCUUUUGUUGUUCUUGUUGUUUUUGUUCCUGUCCACAAACGUCUUUUGACAGUUGACAUGGCGGUCACUGCCACUCGCUCCUCUCAGUGUGCGUGUGUAUGUGUUUGUGUGUUCAGUAUUUUGUCCUCAGUCAGAUGAGCUACGUUUCACAAUGUUUUCAAUGCUAAUUGUUCACUACAUACAUUUCCCAUCCCCUCCCGACACUCCUCCCCACACCCCAAUCCCCCCAUUUUUUUUAUUCCCCGCAUUCUUCCCUCCCUCCCCUUCGCCAGCCAAGCCACCACCUGAACCUGCUCUGGCCCACCCCAAUGGAAAAGAGUAGGCAGCAGGGGAGAAGAAAAGAACCCAAACACAGAGAGAGAGAGAUAGAAAGAGAGAUAGAGAGAGAGAGUCGAAUCAUGCCUUGAUUUCCCCCAGGCUGUCCAGGGCAGAGAGCGAUCCCUCAUGCCUACUCUUGCCACCACUCUGGGGCAGAGAGAACCAAGCUGAGAGAGCCUAUCCAGUUCACCCCUUCCCCCCCCCC